rnacentral:lncRNA from 1 species
AGAGUUAUUUGUAAAAUAUUAGUAAUCAUGUUGCUUUCACAGGUAUGUGAGAAGUAUGAAUGAAACAAUGAAUGUGAAAAGUACUCCACAGUGGCAAUUAUUAUUACUCUCCUACUGUUCCUCUUUACUAGCCAUUGAUCACUCAGAAGUCCAGUCCUUUCUGGCUGCCUUCUGCCAUCCACUCUGUUCACCUGGCUCUGGGGGUCUGUGUGCACCUUCCCCCCUCCCUCAGCUUCUGCAGCUGGAGUUAGAUCUGCCUUCUGCCUCCGGAGCAGGUUUUGUUCUCAUCGCUUUCCUGCCAUCUUGUAUGUGAUGACAUGGCUGACAGCUUCUGAUGUGUCUCGGAAGAUCCCUGCCUCCCAGCAGUCAUACCCAAUGCCUCUCAGGGAAACCCUGACCAACUGCUAGAGGUUGGAGGUAGGGGCCCAAGCAAC